rnacentral:lncRNA from 1 species
AAUAUGUAUUUUUCCACUACUAUAAUAGCCCUAAUCGCCUUAAUCACACCAAUUAUUACGUUAGUCAACCCCUGCAAAAGAAGAUUCAUACCCAAAUUACAUAAAAAUAGCCAUCACAUGCGCCUUCACCAUUAGCCUCAUCCCAACGUUUAUAUAUACAGACCAAGAAGUCAUUAUCUCAAACUGACAUUGAAUGACAAUCCCAACUCUUAAACUCUCACUAAGCUUUAGACUACUUCUCCAUAAUAUUUAUUCUAGUAGCACUAUUUGUUACCUGUAGAAUUCUCAAUAUGAUAUAUAAACUCAGACCCUAACAUUAAUCAAUUUUUCAAAUAUUUUCCUCAUCACAGUAUUCUUCCAAUAUUCCACCAACAAACUCUUUCAACUCUUUAUCGGAUGAGAAGGUAUAGGAAUCAUGUCUUUCUUACUAACUGGCUGACAAUAUGGCCGAGCAGAUGCUAAUACAGCAGCCCUCCAAGCAGUCCUGCACAAUCGCAUCGGCGACAUUGGUUUUAUUUUAGUUAUAGCAUGGUUCCUCUUUUCCUCCAACACAUGAGAGAUUCAACAAGCAUUCAUUCUAAACCCUACCUCUAAUCCCCUUCCAUUAAUUCGCCUUCUCUUAGCAGCAGCAGGAAAGUCAGCUAAAUUCGGCCUCCAUCCCUGACUUCCAUCCGCCAUAGAAGGCCCAACCCCAGCCUCAGCCCUGCUCCACUCCAGCACUAUAGUUGUAGCAGGAGUUUUCCUGCUCAUCCGCUUCUACCCUUUAAUAGAAAAUAACCUCUGAACCCAAACCUUUACAUUAUCUCCAGGGGCUGUUACCACCUUAUUUACAGCAAUCUGCGCUCUAACACAAAAUGAUAUUUAAAAAAUCAUAGCAUUCUCCACCUCAAGUCAGCUGGGCCUUACGAUAGUCACAAUUGGCAUUAAUCAGCCACAUCUAGCAUUCCUUCACAUGUGCACCCACACCUUUUUUAAAGCUAUAUUAUUUAUAUGCUCAGGCUCCAUCAUCCACAAUCUCAAUGAUGAACAAGAUAUUUGAAAAAUAGGACUAUUCAAGACUUUACCCUUCACUUCCUCUUCCCUUAUUAUUGGUAGCCUUGCACUUACAGAUAUGCCUUUCUUCACAGGCUUUUACUCUAAAGACCUUAUUAUCGAAACCACAAAUACUGUCAUAUACCAACGCCUGAGCCCUUUCUAUUACUCUUACUGCCACCUCCUUAACUGCUGGCUAUAGUACCCGUGUUAUUUUCUUUGCUCUGCGGACUGG